GGUCUUGCUGGCCUUGCCGAUUGCGGCGUCGUAUGCGAGGGUGGACUUGCCGCUGUCACUCAUGCCGGUGAUUGUGGCCACGCUCCCGAGUUCCGAGGAGUGCGGCAUGGUCUUGCCGCUAUCGUCGAGGAGCUCGGCGAAGGUGACACCGCCGACCUUCUGACCGGAUCGGAUGAUCUCGGUGUACUGCAGCUUCUGGAAGAGGCCCUUGUACACGAUCCAAGGGGAGGCCAUGUUCGACUGUUGCGCAGCGGAGGUCUCCGGGUAGGGGGAUUCUCCGAAGAACGUGCCGGUUGCUCCGGUGAUGGCGACGGGCUGGGUGGGUUCGGCCUCGACACCCGGAACCUUGAUGGGUCCGAGGUAGCCGACGGUGCCGGCGCCGCCGUAGGUGGAGGCCUCGUCGGGGUGCUGAACUUGGUUCAUGAUGUAGGACCAGCCGUUGAUGUUCUCGUGGUACCAGACGCCGGUGGUCUCGGCCUCCUGGACGACGGUGUUGAUGCGGGUGAGGGCGUGGGUCUCCAUGUGGUAGGCCCAGACGGCGUUGUUCUUGUGCUUGGAGGUGUCCUCGCCGAUGAGGAGAAUGUCGUGGCCGUUCAUGAACGCGACGUUGUCGGGGUUGGCGAUGUUGUGGAUGUCGCAUUUGUCGUCGCCGUCCGUGUGUCCAAGCUUGUCCUCGGUGUUGAAGGACGUGGGGACGCCGCAGACGAGGGGAGAGAUGGACUUGAUGCGGUUGUUGGCGUCGAGGGGCGCGCGGUAAACGCAGCCGCAGGUGUUCUUCUCGAUGCCGAUGUGAUCACCUUCCGCAUGGUCGCCCUUGCUGUCAAGCUUGUGCUCCAUGGAAGCUUCGUUGGAAGAGAUGGCGAAGUACAUCUCCUUGCGGUUCUUUGACCAGGUGAUGCCCUCGAGCUUGCGCCACUGGGCGCUCGCGCCAACGUAGGCAGCGUAGAUGCGGGUCUCGAAUCGGGAGGCGGCGAUCUCCAUGCCGGUCUUGAGCUUGAGGCACAUCGCGCCGCCGUCGACGACGGUGGCCUUGAAGCCGGAAGCGCAAGUGAAGUCGUAAUCGCCGUUGGGGCCGGCGGUCUUGGUGCCGAUUUCAAACAUGUCGGUGAACUUGAUGUAGCUGCCGGCCGUCCCCAUGAGGGUCUUGACUUGCGAGUCCGAGGCUUUGCCGAGGGAGACCCACUCGACGUCGAACUUGCCGGCGCCGACGCCCUUGGUGGAUGUCUGCGUGACCUUCAUGGCGAAAAGCUCGCCGGAGGAGAGGUCGUUGGCCUUGUCAGGGACAAACAUCGCGGCGACGCCGGUGUUGGAGUCGUCGGUGAUGUAGCACACCUGGGGAAAGUCGCCGACGCAGUACGGGAGCUCGAUGGAGUAGCGGCCCAUGGAGUAGUGCUUGGUGGCAGUGAUGGUCGGGCUUGACACGCUGGAGGAAUCGUCGAUGGAGACCUCGUUGACCCAGCGGUGCAUGUACGGAGUCCAAGAGUUUUUAAUCGUGGCGAGGUCAUCGUCGUGGAGGCCGAGAUGGCGCAGCGACAGAACGUCUCCGCCCAGAUCCGAAGUCGACGUGUAGGCACCGGUGACGGCGCUGUCCCACUUGAGGGAGCUCGGGACGCCCCACUCCUCGCCUCCAAGGUGGGUGUUCCACGGGGAAACGGAACCAGCGCAGGUGGCGAUGAGGCCGCCGUCGGCGGAGAAGUCAGCCUUGUGAAUUUUCUUGACGGUGAGGAUACCGGUGGCUGCAGCCUGCUCGAGCUCGAGGACCUGGAUGUUCGCGGGGCGAUCCUCGAGAUGCACAACGGCCCAGACAGUAUUCGGACUGGCGGUGUUGCGGGUCUUGAGGAGAGACACGAAAUCCUCCAUGUUGGAAACCUUGGUGUUGCUGUGUGCAGCUUCUUUGCCGAUCGCGGCGUCGUAUGCGAGGGUGGCGGACUUGCUGUCGGCACUCAUGCCGGUGAUUGUGGCCACGCUCGUGAGAGUCGACGAGUGAGGGAUAGUCGCGCCGGCUGUGGUCUUGAUCUGGGCGAAGGUGACACCGCCGACCUUUUCGCCGGAGCGGAUGAGUUCGGUGUACUUGAGGGGUUGCAUGCUGCCCUUGUAGAUUAUGUAAUCGGAGGCCAAGUUCUUCUGCUGAUUCGCCGAUGUCUCCGGAUACG
rnacentral:lncRNA from 1 species